UUCACAUUUGAUAUUUUCUUGUUCUUCUUGGCACUGGUUCUGGAGAAGCCGCUGGCCAAAUGUCAGCACAGGAUGCCUGUGGCACAGAGGGACCUGACCUCCCACCCCUUCCUGACUCUGGCCUGGCUGAUCUCUGGGCGGCUACCUGUGACCACCGUCUGAUAAGGAAACUGAGGCAAGAAGAAAUGAAGAAUUAUCCAGGGUCAAAAUGCCAAUAACACAUCAGAGGCAAAAAAAAAAAAAGGUAAGACUUAUCCAUAGUCACACAACUAAUAAGAUGUGCCAUCUGGGACAAUUACUUCAUUUCUUAUGUCUUGGUCCUAUGAAUCUAAGGAUAAAGAAUGGGAAAGAGAAAGUAGAUUUUACCAUUGAGAGAUCAUCUGCCAUAAACAAUGACACAUCAAGGAAUUCAGAAAAAUUCUCACAUUAUAGCCAUCAUAUACAAAUACCUAGACUUUACAUAGUGGUUUAGUGUU